rnacentral:rRNA from 1 species
UAGCUAGUUGGUGAGGUAACGGCUUACCAAGGCGACGAUCUGUAGCGGGUCUGAGAGGAUGAUCCGCCACACUGGAACUGAGACACGGUCCAGACUCCUACGGGAGGCAGCAGUGGGGAAUUUUGGACAAUGGGGGCAACCCUGAUCCAGCCAUGCCGCGUGAGUGAAGAAGGCCUUCGGGUUGUAAAGCUCUUUCGGCCGGGAAGAAAUCGCAUGGGCCAAUACCCUGUGUGGAUGACGGUACCGGAAUAAGAAGCACCGGCUAACUACGUGCCAGCAGCCGCGGAAAUACGUAGGGUGCGAGCGUUAAUCGGAAUUACUGGGCGUAAAGCGUGCGCAGGCGGUUUUGUAAGACAGGCGUGAAAUCCCCGGGCUCAACCUGGGAACUGCGUUUGUGACUGCAAGGCUAGAGUACGGCAGAGGGGGGUGGAAUUCCACGUGUAGCAGUGAAAUGCGUAGAGAUGUGGAGGAACACCAAUGGCGAAGGCAGCCCCCUGGGUCGAUACUGACGCUCAUGCACGAAAGCGUGGGUAGCAAACAGGAUUAGAUACCCUGGUAGUCCACGCCCUAAACUAUGUCAACUAGGUGUUGGGUGGGUAAAACCAUUUAGUACCGUAGCUAACGCGUGAAGUUGACCGCCUGGGGAGUACGGCCGCAAGGUUAAAACUCAAAGGAAUUGACGGGGACCCGCACAAGCGGUGGAUGAUGUGGAUUAAUUCGAUGCAACGCGAAAAACCUUACCUACCCUUGACAUGCCAGGAACUUGCCAGAGAUGGCUUGGUGCCCGAAAGGGAGCCUGGACACAGGUGCUGCAUGGCUGUCGUCAGCUCGUGUCGUGAGAUGUUGGGUUAAGUCCCGCAACGAGCGCAACCCUUGUCGUUAAUUGCCAUCAUUUAGUUGGGCACUUUAGCGAGACUGCCGGUGACAAACCGGAGGAAGGUGGGGAUGACGUCAAGUCCUCAUGGCCCUUAUGGGUAGGGCUUCACACGUCAUACAAUGGUCGGUACAAAGGGUCGCCAAGCCGCGAGGUGGAGCCAAUCCCAGAAAGCCGAUCGUAGUCCGGAUUGCAGGCUGCAACUCGCCUGCAUGAAGUCGGAAUCGCUAGUAAUCGUGGAUCAGCAUGUCACGGUGAAUACGUUCCCGGGUCUUGUACACACCGCCCGUCACACCAUGGGAGCGGGUUCCGCCAGAAGUAGGUAGCCUAACCGUAAGGAGGGCGCUUACCACGGCGGGGUUCGUGACUGGGGUGAAGUCGUAACAAGGUAGCCGUAGGGGCCUGCGGCUG